GUUUGGGAAUUAGGCUAUGUUUAUGUUAAGAUUUCUCAAUUCGGAUUGCUUCUAAUGUUCGUUAUGUAUAUUUUCAUUAUAUGUUCAUAGUGGAUGACAAGUUCUAUGGCAGCCGCAAACUAAAAGAACAUGUGGUUAAGGCUUGGCAAGAGCUUGAAAAGAAAAAGACAUACAAAAAAUUAAAUCAGUAUCGUCUCAUUCUUGAUGAAGUUGGGGUAUUGUUUCUUGCUAUUGAUUUCAAACGUCGCACAUCUUAUCACUUCCUCUCCACCGCCUUUGACUACACUUCCAAUCCAUAUUAUCACUUUUUCUCCACCGCCUUUGACUGCACUUCCAAUCCACAGUGACAGAGUUCAUGUAUGUCAAUUUAAGUUUUGAAGAUGCACAUCAACUGCUUGAUGAAAUGCUUCAAAGAAGCGGGAAGAUUAGUUCUACUCCAUCUAUCAGGGUAUGAUUGAAUACGAUCUUACAGACCUUGAUAUGAGGAAGAGAAGCACAAUACCAUUUUUGGCUGAUGUCGGAACUGUUCACAUCUGAAUGAACUGGCGUUGGCGUUGCUACUACUGUUGACGGCGGGGGUAGUGGGUUGGAGUCGUGAUGGUGUUGCGCCUUUGCUCCACAUAUCAAUUUUGAAGGUAAACACAAACCGUCAUCGUCUUGACUGAACCUUUUAAACUCUUAGCCCUAAACAAUCGUCGAUUGGCUGUUCUCAACAAUCAAAUGUUACAGAUGCCACAUGAAGGUGUUUUCUCAAAUUUCAGUAUCAUGGUCUCCGAUUUUACGAUCCUAUCUUAAUUUCAUAAAACUUUCAUUUCAUUUUAACCAGGUGAAUCGUGUAUCGGUGUGCAUGAACGGUCUCUCUCUCUCUCUCUCUCUCUCUCUCUCCAUAGGUAUGGUAAGAAGAAGCAGAUAUGAUGUCAUGUGAUGUAUAGGUUGCAAAAGAACAAUCAGAUGGGAAUCCACCUCAGGCUCUGCUUCCGGUUGUGAUAGGUUCAGUAAAUAUAUGGAUAAAUGUUCAGAGGGACAAAACUUCUUGACAGUUGACAAGCAUGGUGAAGUGAAGCUCCAAUCUUUGACUUCUUUGGAAAGCUUGGCUUUUGCAGAUUGGAAAUUUAUUAAUCCACCCAAGCAUUUGAACCACAACUAGUUUAGAUUUUGGGUAUGUCGUGCAACUGGGAAAUGUCUCACAGUUUUUGGAGGGAAUACAAACCUAAUCAUGGACACUUUAGGUGGAUUGGCUCUAGCCACUAAACCACCUAAUCUUAAUUAUUACUUUAAUACAUUUACAAUUUUACAUA